AGCUCCCCCUCUCUCCUCAUGUCACUUUCACUCUUUGUCUUAUGUUUACAAUUCAAAACUCCUUCAUUGCCUAUAUAUAAAGGCUUUGUGACUACUUUGUAACACACACAUAUUGAAUACAAGUAUUUCCUCUAUCUAAUUUAUUACUCUCUUCUCUCUACAUAUGCUUAACUAAUAAUUAUAAUGUACAUUAGUUAGAGAGUGAUGUGUUAGAGGCUGUCCUUAAGGACAACCUAAUACUUGUUAAAUACACUCUAAACUCUUCUUUAUUUAGUAGUUAAUCUCUAGUGUAUCUAGUGAAUUCCAUCACAAGUUGAUGGCUUGUUCACCUUAGAAAUGAGUUCUCUUUUGUGUGGGUAAAGGGGGAAUCAAUCACUAAGUGAUUGUUUACUCUAUCUUGUGAGCUUUGUCUCAUAAAACCAACAUGGUAUCAGAGCCUAGUUGCUCUCUUGGUUCCUUAAUAACUCAUUUCUAAUGUUUGCUAUUUUUCUUUAUUGUCUUAACUCUUAAAGAUCUUUUCUUUCACAUCUUGUUGUUGCAAGCUUGUGUUCUUGGUCUUGUUGGUAUGCCCAAAUCCAAGCUUGAGGAGGGGAAAGAUCUAGUUUUUGCAUCACCAUUUAGCUUAGUCAAAUAGAUUAAAGCUUGUUAUAAAGAUGCAUCUUUGUAACCAAUUGACAAAUGGUUGUUCCAUAGGUUCAUUUAUUUUUAUUUUGCAGUUGACCACGAAAAUCAUCUUCAAUAUGAUAUUUUGUGAGUCUUGUUCAGUUAAAACUAUCGAAAAUCACUUGUUCAUGUGUUAUUUCAUGGGUUAAGUUGCUCAAGACAUAUGUCUUAUGUCUUUACUGUUGGAUAAACUAAUUGUCCAAAUGGUCCAUAAGUUUCAGCCAUUAAAGCACCAAAUUCUCAAUGACUAUUGGAUGCUCUUGGUUGUUAAAGCUUCCGCAAAACUCAAGAAAACAGAGCAGAACUCUGUCCAUUUGAACUCUUGAGCAAACUCUCUAUUCUCUACUCUCUAUACUCCUAAUACUCUUGCUUUAAUACUCUAUAUUCUCUGGUUACUUAUUCUUGGUUACUUAUACUCUAUAUUCUCUGGUUACUUAUUCUUGGUUACUUAUUCUCUAAAUUCUCAUUUUAUUUUGAGUAAUUUACUCUAUUCUCUAAUCUCUCACCAUCUCUUUUUUAGAAUCUGUCUUAAUCUCAAACAGGUUCAUUCUUUAAAGAUGGUGAGGUUGUUGGCACAUCACAAUGCUUGGAAGUUAGAACCAAUGGCCAUCAAGCUGGUGGAAGGUUUAAAGGAGAAGAGGCAUGUGUGGACAUUCUCAUGAGAAACACAAGAUAAAGCAAAGAGAUCCAUAAAGAGGAGAAAUCAAGUCAUGAAGGACUAAAUAAGGGAAUGGAAACACUUAAGAGGAAGGAGCCAACUCUCAUUCUAGUUACUCUACUCUCGGCAACAAGAAAAUCUCUGCCGAAGCGUCUCAAAGAUCGACACAUACGAAGGUCUUCUACGGUUAUUCAGCUUCCGCGUUCUUCAUAAAACCUGUAGACAAUUGAGUUGUCUGUCCACUGGAGGUGCGAUCAUCCCAAUCGGAGCAACCGUUCACGAGUUAUGCUCGUUUGAGUGGAGAUAUAUCAGUCUGGCCCGACUGAAGAAGCACUCGACCAUUGAGAGAAGUUGAGGGUCGAGUGGCCAUUGAAUGGACAAGAACAAAGCUGAAAAAGAAGCUACAUUGAAGUGCUUACUGGAAUGAUUGGUCCAUUGUUUGAGCUGAAGUAGGGUUUACACAAACCUACAAGAUUGGUUCUCAUUAACCAUUGAAGCCAAUCUUGAGGGGGAGAAAUGUGUAAACUACCCUUAUGGAGCUAUAGAAGCAGUUUGAGGCAAUUAUGCUUCAAAUAAAUGUUGGAUUGGGAUCAAGAAGUCAUCAAACAUAAAGAGGAGACCCAUGGGGAGAAACUCAAGUGGUGGUGCAAAGAUUGUCUCAACCAACACAUUUCAACAAGAGAUCAAAGGCUAUCUCUAAACCCUUAACUCUUUCAAUAUAUUUAAUUCAUUAACCACAUUUUAAUCAGAUUAGUCAUGCAUUGAAGUGAAUUUGUCAUGCUUAGAAUCUGAAUUUGGAAAACAUUUUUUUUAGGUUGUGGUUUUAGAGAAUUUUCUUGUAUUAAAUCAGAUUAUUAAUAUUUAAUUUGUCAUGUUUAAAGUUUAAUUUUAGAAAUUAAAUUCAUGAUUAAAAUCUGAAAUUUAUCUUGUUGAAUUAUGAGUUUAUAAACUGACUAUUAAACCGGAUUUAGGAUGAUUUGAAAUUGAAUUUGCAUGUUUGAAAUUUGAGUUUUUAGUCAUGUGUUAAACUGAAUUUAGACCUAGUAAAACCUAGUGCAUGCUUAAUGUUAUUUUUAUGAUAAACAUACUUAAGAUCUUUCUUUACAUAUUUUGCUGAAGGUGUUAAAGAAAAGAAAGCCACAUGGAAGCUAGAUGACAAGAAGAGAAGCAAUGGGAAGAAUUCCAAGCAAGAAGACAAAGCUAUCCCACAUUCAAACCAUGGCCAUAGCUACAUCAUUCAACCAUGAAGGCUAUACUCUUUUUCCCUUGGCAAAGUUUUAUCCCAAGUGGUUUUCUUUGCUAAGGUUUUUAAUGAGGUAGUUCUUUGUGUGUUGCAAGCUUGGUCUUUGGUCCCCACCGCCCAAGCUUGAGGGGGAGUAUUAGAGAGGAAAAAGAGAAUAAGAACCUAAGGAGUAUGUCAAGAAGACAAGGCUGUGCUUCAAGCUACUUUAAGGAGAACCUAAGGAGAAUGUUUAAGGAACUUUAACACUCAACUAGGCUCGUGAAUGUCCAAGCUUAACCUCAAAUAUCUCUACACUUAAGCUUGAGGGGGAGUAUUAGACUUGAUGGAAGAAGUAACAAAGGAGUAGAAUGAUAUCAAGGCUCCAUCUAGGCUUCAAGUAUCGUAAAGGUCCGAAUUGGUGUCCAAUGAAGGCCCAAGAUGAUUCUACUCUUACUAAAGCUAAGUCAGAAGAAGAUAAAAGAAUCUAGAAAGCCCAUCUAAGGCCAUGAAAGAAUGAGAGGGAAAGAUGUUGAAUAAGUCAAAGGAAGGCAAGUGGGAGCUGGGCGUUGGGAGUGGUCCCCUACACUCCUUGGGCGCUCAUGUGGACAAAGAGACGUCGGGAGUGGUCUCCUACACUCCUUUGGGCGCUCAUGAAGCUCCCCCUCUCUCCUCAUGUCACUUUCACUCUUUGUCUUAUGUUCACAAUUCAAAACUCUUUCCUUGCCUAUAUAUAAAGGCUUUGUGACUACUUUGUAACACACACAUAUUGAAUACAAGUAUUUUCUCUAUCUAA